rnacentral:rRNA from 1 species
UGAGGAAUAUUGGGCAAUGCCCGCAAGGGUGACCCAGCAACGCCGCGUGGAGGAUGAAUGUCGUAAGAUUGUAAACUCCUGUUAGAGGGGAAGAAUAGUACCGGUUGGACCGGUAUAUGACUGUACCCUCAGAGAAAGCCCCGGCUAACUACGUGCCAGCAGCCGCGGUAAUACGUAGGGGGCAAGCGUUGUCCGGAUUUCCUGGGUGUAAAGGGCGCGCAGGCGUGAUAAAAAGUCAGUGGUGAAAUCCUACAGCUUAACUGUAGAACUGCCUUUGAUACUUUUAUUCUGGAGUUCGGGGGAGAGAGAAGGAAUGCCGGGUGUAGUGGUGAAAUACGUAGAUAUCUGGAAGAACACCAGUUGCGAAGGCGGUCUCUUGGUCCGACACUGACGCUGAGGCGCGAAAGCGUGGGGAGCAAACA